UACGUAGGUGGCAAGCGUUGUCCGGAUUUAUUGGGUUUAAAGGGUGCGUAGGCGGUCUUAUAAGUCAGUGGUGAAAUACGGCAGCUCAACUGUCGAGGUGCCAUUGAUACUGUAGGACUUGAGUACAGACGAGGUAGGCGGAAUUGACGGUGUAGCGGUGAAAUGCAUAGAUAUCGUCAAGAACACCGAUAGCGAAGGCAGCUUACUGGGCUGUAACUGACGCUGAUGCACGAAAGUGUGGGGAUCAAACAGG
rnacentral:rRNA from 1 species